GACGAACGCUGGCGGCGUGCUUAGCACAUGCAAGUCGAACGGAAAGGCCCUGCUUUUGUGGGGUGCUCGAGUGGCGAACGGGUGAGUAACACGUGAGUAACCUGCCCUUGACUUUGGGAUAACUUCAGGAAACUGGGGCUAAUACCGGAUAGGAGCUCCUGCUGCAUGGUGGGGGUUGGAAAGUUUCGGCGGUUGGGGAUGGACUCGCGGCUUGUCAGCUUGUUGGUGGGGUAGUGGCUUACCAAGGCUUUGACGGGUAGCCGGCCUGAGAGGGUGACCGGCCACAUUGGGACUGAGAUACGGCCCAGACUCCUACGGGAGGCAGCAGUGGGGAAUAUUGCACAAUGGGCGGAAGCCUGAUGCAGCAACGCCGCGUGCGGGAUGACGGCCUUCGGGUUGUAAACCGCUUUCGCCUGUGACGAAGCGUGAGUGACGGUAAUGGGUAAAGAAGCACCGGCUAACUACGUG
rnacentral:rRNA from 1 species